GAUGAACGCUGGCGGCGUGCCUAAUACAUGCAAGUCGAGCGAACAGACGAGGAGCUUGCUCCUCUGACGUUAGCGGCGGACGGGUGAGUAACACGUGGAUAACCUACCUAUAAGACUGGGAUAACUUCGGGAAACCGGAGCUAAUACCGGAUAAUAUAUUGAACCGCAUGGUUCAAUAGUGAAAGACGGUUUUGCUGUCACUUAUAGAUGGAUCCGCGCCGCAUUAGCUAGUUGGUAAGGUAACGGCUUACCAAGGCAACGAUGCGUAGCCGACCUGAGAGGGUGAUCGGACACACUGGAACUGAGACACGGUACAGACUCCUACGGGAGGCAGCAGUAGGGAAUCUUCCGCAAAGGGCGAAAGCCUGACGGAGCAACGCCGCGUGAGUGAUGAAGGUCUUCGGAUCGUAAAACUCUGUUAUUAGGGAAGAACAAAUGUGUAAGUAACUAUGCACGUCUUGACGGUACCUAAUCAGAAAGCCACGGCUAACUACGUG
rnacentral:rRNA from 1 species